AUUUCCUUCGAGGUGGCCUUUACAUCCCUUUGACAUAUCUGUGAUUACUUUACAGCUCUCCACUGUAACUGUUUCACCUGCUGCUUCUUUCUCUGCUAUUUUCCAGUUCCGGACUUACUCACCGGCACGAUUCCUCACGAUUAUCCCUAAAAUACCACUUAAAGCGGGAACAUGGAGCGAACAAUAGCAGCUGUCAGUAAUGGGAAUGGAAUACUCGAAAUCUGAGAAAAAAACAAACGUAGGAAAUAAAAGCCAGAUUCGUGCUUUCAUUUGGAGCUUUUGGACGUCCCCAAAGAAAACAUCAAGGCGGUGAUGCCUCAAUAUUUUUAACUGAUCUGUGAUAUAAUCUACAAGGAAGUGAUGAAAUCCCCAAAUGAUCUGAUUUGGAAAUCUGCUUUUGCCAGAGAGUGCUGCAAACUGAAAGAGCUCACUAAGCCCUUGAUGAAAUCACAGAAAAUGAUAUUUCCAUAAGCACUGAAUACAAGACUCAUCUUGGAGCAGUACUUACUUCUUCACCAUCAGUCCUGUUGUCGCCAAGUUAACAGGGGGAAGUGUCCAAAAUAAUUUCAACGUGACCGAGUGAUCAGCCACAAAAGGUAAAAAUACCAAACCUGGAUCGACGUGUGAACAAUGCAGGUAUUGUUCUCUGUGGGAUAAUCCUGUUUAGCCUUUUGAGGGGCUCACAUAAAUUAGAGAACGGGGAAAGUUAUAUGAUGUUGGGGGUCACAAGCUGGCAUGUAAGCCACCUCUUCAUAAUAUUAGCACUAGGACCCCAGGAUAUUAUCGCCCUUCGCUGGGCUGUCUGCCGCUGUGCUCUGUACCCGGCCCUGCAGGAGGAAAAAAAAACAAUGUCUAGUUUAGGCAGUUGUUACUUUUUUUCACCCUUCAAGUGUUUUUUCAAAGACGCAGCCUUCCAUAGAAUCCCCCUCUGUGUUGAGUAGUGAUUUACAUAAUCCGAUUUGGGGGGAUUAUUUUGAGUCCCUGAAAAACGGCCACACUGGGCCUGAUCUGAAUUCCAGCUAUUCACUGCGCCUGCUACACUUCCAAGAGGCUGCACCUGCACUGGUAGUCACCUCUCCUCUCGGGCCUGAAUACUCGGCAGCCCACCACACAAUGCCUCCAGUGCAUUUAAUUGAUCCAUCGGAGUUACGCUCAAGAUGAUGGAAAAUGAAAGUCAGGCCAGUUAGUCUUAUCCAACGGGUCAUCGGUUUCUGAAAAGGCCUGAUCUCACAUCGGGGUGCUCUAACCCCCCCACCUCCCACAACACACACACACACUCCCACUCCCUGCAGUCCGAUCGCUUCCCUCACACCUCAUCCCAAGAAUAUUCCUCGACUGGGGAGGCACACACGCUCCGGAUAGCCUGUGCAGUGAUUCACUAAGCCUUAGCAUCACAUUUUAAACGUCUUUCUUCUGUUUUUAGGAUUUCCCACAACUUCUGCUGCCCCGCUGAAGCUGAAAAACAUAAACUGAGCAUGAUAUUACAUGUUGUUUACUGCAAAGGCAUUAUUUCAAAUACGGAACAAAGAUUUUGUUUUGUGCCUCUUUUAAAUGAACUAGGUUUUUUUUUAAC